rnacentral:rRNA from 1 species
UUGUUCCUUAAAUAGGGACUUGUAUGAACGGCCACACGAGGGCUUUACUGUCUCUUACUUCCAAUCCGUGAAAUUGACCUUCCCGUGAAGAGGCGGGAAUAUAACAAUAAGACGAGAAGACCCUAUGGAGCUUUAAUUAACCGACCCAAAGAGACCUCAUAUCCAACCGACAGGAACAACAAACCUCUAAUGGGCCGACAAUUUAGGUUGGGGUGACCUCGGAGAACAAAACAACCUCCGAGUGAUUUAAAUCAAGACUAACUAGUCAAAAGUACUACAUCACUUAUUGAUCCAAAAACUUGAUCAACGGAACAAGUUACCCUAGGGAUAACAGCGCAAUCCUAUUUCAGAGUCCAUAUCGACAAUAGGGUUUACGAC